UUUGCCUUCUUCCUCAAAUGCUGAUCGUCCAAGAAUCUCAUCAGUUGACUCCUUUCGACGGCAAAUUUUAAAAAAUUCAGUGACAAAAUCACCUAGCAAACACUGAGGAUUCUCAGCUUUUCGAACUCUAACAGACCAAUGCGGAGCUUGAAUAGGAUCCAAAUCACUAAAAUGCAAACCAAUAAAUGUAAGAUCCUAAUUAUGACAAUCUGCAAGAUUCAUGAACUUAUCAAAAUGUAUGAAAACAUAAAGAAUAAACAAUCCAUUUAGUCUCACUUAAACUUGCUGUUAUCCAGAUACAUACAGCCAUUUGGAUAAGUUUUUAAAAAGUUUUUAGACAAUAAAAUACAAAAGGGAACACCAAAAUCAAAACAAAAUAAAAAAUGCAUAUAAAAAUUACUAGCAAUUUGGGAGUUAAUUUACUCUACUGAAGUUUUUUAAUUUCAACAUACUACUCUUAACAUACUUACGAAUAAACAUCAUUAUCCACAAUGAUCCCUUCAGUCAGAUGAGGCCAGGUAGUAGCUAAAUGGAGUUCACUAAAAUAAAACAUAAAAUACACCCAAAAGCUUUAAUACUGACUCAGCAAUUCUAUUCAAUACCUAGAAAACUAUCCUAAGGAAAUAAAAAUAUGUUAGAGUGGCAUUAUUUAUAAUACACAAACUGGAAACAACUUAUUUAGCAAUGGUAGCACAUCCUUAUGAAGGUAAUGUUUUGCAAACAUUAAUCACAUUAUACAUAAUAGACAAAAAGCAUAAAUAACUCACCAACUAAUGAAUGGAUAAACAAAAUGUGGCAUAUCUAUACAAUGGUAUAUUUACAGCCAUAAAAAGCACAUAAGUACAUUAGUUCCCCCUUAUCCACAGCUUCACUUUCUGCACAUUCAGUUACCCCAAAUUAACUGCAGUCUGAAAAU